rnacentral:rRNA from 1 species
GAUGAACGCUGGCGGCGUGCCUAAUACAUGCAAGUCGAGCGAACGGACGAGAAGCUUGCUUCUCUGAUGUUAGCGGCGGACGGGUGAGUAACACGUGGAUAACCUACCUAUAAGACUGGGAUAACUUCGGGAAACCGGAGCUAAUACCGGAUAAUAUUUUGAACCGCAUGGUUCAAAAGUAAAAGACGGUCUUGCUGUCACUUAUAGAUGGAACCGCGCUGCAUUAGCUAGUUGGUAAGGUAACGGCUUACCAAGGCAACGAUGCAUAGCCGACCUGAGAGGGGGAUCGGCAACACUGGAACUGAGAAACGGUCCAGACUCCUACGGGAGGCAGAGGUAGGGAACCUUCGGAAAUGGGCGAAAGCCUGACGGAGCAACGCCGCGUGAGUGAUGAAGGUCUUCGGAUCGUAAAACUCUGUUAUUAGGGAAGAACAUAUGUGUAAGUAACUGUGCACAUCUUGACGGUACCUAAUCAGAAAGCCACGGCUAACUACGUG